rnacentral:rRNA from 1 species
GGUUAAGCGACUAAGCGUACACGGUGGAUGCCCUGGCAGUCAGAGGCGAUGAAGGACGUGCUAAUCUGCGAUAAGCGUCGGUAAGGUGAUAUGAACCGUUAUAACCGGCGAUUUCCGAAUGGGGAAACCCAGUGUGAUUCGUCACACUAUCAUUAACUGAAUCCAUAGGUUAAUGAGGCGAACCGGGGGAACUGAAACAUCUAAGUACCCCGAGGAAAAGAAAUCAACCGAGAUUCCCCCAGUAGCGGCGAGCGAACGGGGAGCAGCCCAGAGCCUGAAUCAGUGUGUGUGUUAGUGGAAGCGUCUGGAAAGGCGCGCGAUACAGGGUGACAGCCCCGUACACAAAAAUGCACAUGCUGUGAGCUCGAUGAGUAGGGCGGGACACGUGGUAUCCUGUCUGAAUAUGGGGGGACCAUCCUCCAAGGCUAAAUACUCCUGACUGACCGAUAGUGAACCAGUACCGUGAGGGAAAGGCGAAAAGAACCCCGGCGAGGGGAGUGAAAAAGAACCUGAAACCGUGUACGUACAAGCAGUGGGAGCACAGAGCAAUCUGUGUGACUGCGUACCUUUUGUAUAAUGGGUCAGCGACUUAUAUUCUGUAGCAAGGUUAACCGAAUAGGGGAGCCGAAGGGAAACCGAGUCUUAACUGGGCGUUAAGUUGCAGGGUAUAGACCCGAAACCCGGUGAUCUAGCCAUGGGCAGGUUGAAGGUUGGGUAACACUAACUGGAGGACCGAACCGACUAAUGUUGAAAAAUUAGCGGAUGACUUGUGGCUGGGGGUGAAAGGCCAAUCAAACCGGGAGAUAGCUGGUUCUCCCCGAAAGCUAUUUAGGUAGCGCCUCGUGAAUUCAUCUCCGGGGGUAGAGCACUGUUUCGGCAAGGGGGUCAUCCCGACUUACCAACCCGAUGCAAACUGCGAAUACCGGAGAAUGUUAUCACGGGAGACACACGGCGGGUGCUAACGUCCGUCGUGAAGAGGGAAACAACCCAGACCGCCAGCUAAGGUCCCAAAGUCAUGGUUAAGUGGGAAACGAUGUGGGAAGGCCCAGACAGCCAGGAUGUUGGCUUAGAAGCAGCCAUCAUUUAAAGAAAGCGUAAUAGCUCACUGGUCGAGUCGGCCUGCGCGGAAGAUGUAACGGGGCUAAACCAUGCACCGAAGCUGCGGCAGCGACGCUUAUGCGUUGUUGGGUAGGGGAGCGUUCUGUAAGCCUGUGAAGGUGUACUGUGAGGUAUGCUGGAGGUAUCAGAAGUGCGAAUGCUGACAUAAGUAACGAUAAAGCGGGUGAAAAGCCCGCUCGCCGGAAGACCAAGGGUUCCUGUCCAACGUUAAUCGGGGCAGGGUGAGUCGACCCCUAAGGCGAGGCCGAAAGGCGUAGUCGAUGGGAAACAGGUUAAUAUUCCUGUACUUGGUGUUACUGCGAAGGGGGGACGGAGAAGGCUAUGUUGGCCGGGCGACGGUUGUCCCGGUUUAAGCGUGUAGGCUGGUUUUCCAGGCAAAUCCGGAAAAUCAAGGCUGAGGCGUGAUGACGAGGCACUACGGUGCUGAAGCAACAAAUGCCCUGCUUCCAGGAAAAGCCUCUAAGCAUCAGGUAACAUCAAAUCGUACCCCAAACCGACACAGGUGGUCAGGUAGAGAAUACCAAGGCGCUUGAGAGAACUCGGGUGAAGGAACUAGGCAAAAUGGUGCCGUAACUUCGGGAGAAGGCACGCUGAUAUGUAGGUGAAGUCCCUCGCGGAUGGAGCUGAAAUCAGUCGAAGAUACCAGCUGGCUGCAACUGUUUAUUAAAAACACAGCACUGUGCAAACACGAAAGUGGACGUAUACGGUGUGACGCCUGCCCGGUGCCGGAAGGUUAAUUGAUGGGGUCAGCGCAAGCGAAGCUCUUGAUCGAAGCCCCGGUAAACGGCGGCCGUAACUAUAACGGUCCUAAGGUAGCGAAAUUCCUUGUCGGGUAAGUUCCGACCUGCACGAAUGGCGUAAUGAUGGCCAGGCUGUCUCCACCCGAGACUCAGUGAAAUUGAACUCGCUGUGAAGAUGCAGUGUACCCGCGGCAAGACGGAAAGACCCCGUGAACCUUUACUAUAGCUUGACACUGAACAUUGAGCCUUGAUGUGUAGGAUAGGUGGGAGGCUUAGAAGUGUGGACGCCAGUCUGCAUGGAGCCGACCUUGAAAUACCACCCUUUAAUGUUUGAUGUUCUAACGUUGACCCGUGAUCCGGGUUGCGGACAGUGUCUGGUGGGUAGUUUGACUGGGGCGGUCUCCUCCUAAAGAGUAACGGAGGAGCACGAAGGUUGGCUAAUCCUGGUCGGACAUCAGGAGGUUAGUGCAAUGGCAUAAGCCAGCUUGACUGCGAGCGUGACGGCGCGAGCAGGUGCGAAAGCAGGUCAUAGUGAUCCGGUGGUUCUGAAUGGAAGGGCCAUCGCUCAACGGAUAAAAGGUACUCCGGGGAUAACAGGCUGAUACCGCCCAAGAGUUCAUAUCGACGGCGGUGUUUGGCACCUCGAUGUCGGCUCAUCACAUCCUGGGGCUGAAGUAGGUCCCAAGGGUAUGGCUGUUCGCCAUUUAAAGUGGUACGCGAGCUGGGUUUAGAACGUCGUGAGACAGUUCGGUCCCUAUCUGCCGUGGGCGCUGGAGAACUGAGGGGGGCUGCUCCUAGUACGAGAGGACCGGAGUGGACGCAUCACUGGUGUUCGGGUUGUCAUGCCAAUGGCACUGCCCGGUAGCUAAAUGCGGAAGAGAUAAGUGCUGAAAGCAUCUAAGCACGAAACUUGCCCCGAGAUGAGUUCUCCCUGACUCCUUGAGAGUCCUGAAGGAACGUUGAAGACGACGACGUUGAUAGGCCGGAUGUGUAAGCGCAGCGAUGCGUUGAGCUAACCGGUACUAAUGAACCGUGAGGCUUAACCUU